GCCCUGGUGGCACAGUGGUUAAAUGCCUGUAACUGCAGACCACAAGGUUGUGAGUUCAAUACUAGCCAGGGCU
rnacentral:tRNA from 1 species